rnacentral:rRNA from 1 species
AAAACGACUCUCGGCAACGGAUAUCUAGGCUCUCGCAUCGAUGAAGAACGUAGCGAAAUGUGAUACUUGGUGUGAAUUGCAGAAUCCCGCGAAUCAUCGAGUUUUUGAACGCAAGUUGCGCCCGAAGCCUUUCGGUCGAGGGCACGUCUGCCUGGGUGUCACGC